CCGUAUUCACCUUGUCCAUCAGAAAGAGAUGGAGCACACUUUGAAAGGCAGCCCAAGAAUCUCAUUCUAAAUAUCAUCAGGCUGCUCGAGCUUUACUCUUAUAAUUUGGAAUAACAAGAGAGGAGGGUAGGAGCAUAGUAAAAACCUGUACACCUUGCCUUCCCUUCCACGCUCCUACACUGCCUCCAGAGAAGAACCCUUGUGGUUUGAGACCCAUUGAAAUGUGGCAAAUGGAUUUGACCCAUUAUAAAUCUUUUGGUCCUCUGUCUUUUAUCCAUGUUGUGGUAGACACCUUUUCAGGAUUCACUUUUACAAUAUCAGCAGCAAAAGAGACAGCCUGAGUGAUCACUGAAUUCCUUAUACAAGCAUUUGCAAUUAUGGGUGCGCCACAAGCAAGGAAAACAGACAAUGGACCUGCAUAUACUUCUGAACAUUUUGCACACUUUUGUGCACAGUGUAAGAUUUUACACACCACUAGCAUACCUUUUAAUCCUCAAGUACAGGCAAUAGUAGAGAAGAGAGAGACAUUAAGAUGCUCCUCUGAAAACAAAAGAAAGGGGGAGCCACAGACAACCCUAGAGAACUUGUAAAUCUAGCUCUUUAUACUAUUUCUUGAUGUUUGACAAGGUGCAUUGGCUCUGGCAGGCAGGUUUUAUAACCCACCGGAAGGGCAGUGUCCAGUGCGAGCCUCUCCAUUAUCUUUAAUCGCCAGGUGAUGUGGAGAGGCCCAGAAAGUGGUGAAUGGAAGGGACCCGAUAUGUUAACUGCUUGGGGGAGAGGGUUUGUUUGUAUCUCCACAAAUGGAGAAGGAAUCAGAUGGGUGCCAAUGAGCCAUAUUCACCUUGUCCAUCAGAGAGAGAUGGAGCACACCUUGAAAGGAAGAAGACCCAAGAAACAUCUGGUGGUUCCAUUGCUGACUGUGCUCACCACUGAAUGAGCACGGCAGUUAUGGCGUUUGACUUGUGGACAUCAACAAUUGUAGAACUGCAAAACUCUCAGGAAUCACUGGAUUCUCUGAGAUAUGAAAAGACUGUUGCAGGACUUCAAAAACUUGUGGGAAUCAUUGGAUCCCAUGACAUGUGAAGCAAUGCACAAUAGAUUGAUUUUGGACUAUCUCUUGGCUGCUGAAGAAGGCGUAUGUGUGACUGUUGUUUACAUACCCUUCUUUUAGGACUUGUGGAAAUCUUUUACAACACUAUGAUGAUUCAUAUUGUUUGUUAUAUCACUACUUGCAUGUACAAUUGAUGUUUGUUGCACCACAUUGAGCCUGCAGUGGUUGUGCGGAGAGUCAUCACUACUAGCCUGUGCAAUAUUGAUAUGUGCUUGUGUAAUACCUCCCAUGCUGAUGGGUUUGUGCAUACCUGUUUCUAAUAAAACCCUUCAGCCCAGAAA